rnacentral:rRNA from 1 species
AAUGAACGCUGGCGGCGCGCCUAAUACAUGCAAGUCGAGCGAGAAGACGUAGCAAUACGUUUGUAAAGCGGCGAACGGGUGAGGAAUACAUGGGUAACCACCCUCGAGUGGGGAAUAACUAGCCGAAAGGUUAGCUAAUACCGCGUACGCUUCUUGGACUUCGGUUCAGGGAGGAAAGCGAUACCGUGGGUAUCGCGCUCUUGGAUGGGCUCAUGUCCUAUCAGCUUGUUGGUGAGGUAACGGCUCACCAAGGCUUCGACGGGUAGCUGGUCUGAGAGGACGAUCAGCCACACUGGCACUGCGACACGGGCCAGACUCCUACGGGAGGCAGCAGUAAGGAAUAUUGCGCAAUGGGCGAAAGCCUGACGCAGCGACGCCGCGUGGGGGA